rnacentral:rRNA from 1 species
AGUAACAAUUAAAAGUUGAAUAAAUUUUCCCGAUCCCGUCUGAUCUUGGAAGCUAAGCAGGGUCGGGCCUGGUUAGUACUUGGAUGGGAGACCAUCGAGGAAGACAAGGUGCUGUAGGCG